rnacentral:rRNA from 1 species
UAAUACGGAGGGUGCAAACGUUGCUCGGAAUCAUUGGGCGUAAAGCGCACGUAGGCUGCCCGACAAGUUGGGUGUGAAAACCCUGGGCUCAACCCAGGAAGUGCAUCCAAAACUGGCGGGCUUGAAUCUCGGAGGGGGUCGGAGAAUUCCCGGUGUAGAGGUGAAAUUCGUAGAUAUCGGGAGGAAUACCAGUGGCGAAGGCGCCGACCUGGACGAAGAUUGACGCUGAGGUGCGAAAGCGUGGGGAGCAAACAGG